rnacentral:lncRNA from 1 species
ACUCGCGCACACCCCUCAGUGCGCCCCGGGCGGGGGCUGCCGUCCUCCGCGACUCAAGAGCGAGCGCCCCCGCUCCCCGGCCCACCCGAGCCCCUCUGCGUUCCCCGCUCUUCUGUGCGGGGACAGCUGCUGCUUUGGGGGCGACGCUAAGCCGCGUGGAGGCGUCUCUGGACAGCCCCCUCCCUCCAACGAGCCCGAAAAGCCCGCGGCAGCAGCCGGGGGUCCCUACCUUCUGCGGGGGGGUCCCGAUCAGCAUCUCCAGGUAGUAGCCGCGGCCAGAGUCCCCCUGCAGGUUGUCUACCAUGGCCAAGAAGUUGGCGGCGCCCGCGGGGGACGCCAGGGCAGGCUCCAGGGCGAGCGCCAAGCCGUCGGCGUGGCGCUCGGCAGGGGUCCCGGGUCCCGGGGUGGGCGCAACUACGCGGUUCGUGGCCGCGGCCACCCGGAGGGGCAGCGUGAAGGGCGCGGGGGCCAGCUCCGGGGCGGCGCGCAGGAGCCACUGGGCCAGCAGAGGCAGCAGCAGCGCCCGGGCCAGUGCGCCCAUGCCCACGGCGGGGCCCGGGGGGCGCGCCCAGCCUAGCCGGUCCCGUCCCGUCCGGCAGCCGCGGCUCAGCGACUCGGCCGGCGCGCGGGGCUGCGGGCAGGGAUGGGCGCGCACCGGGACCGGCGGCGGCGGGGAGGACGGGAGGAGGGCCCAGGGGAGGAGGCUCGCGGGAGGGGAGGAGGCUCGCGGGAGGGGAGAAGGCGGAGGCCGGGGAGGCGGGCGCGGAGGCGCAGAGCCGCCCCAGCCCGCGCCGCCAAGUUGGGCAAGUUCUUCUCCGCUGCCCCCUCUGGCGGCCGCGACUGCCCCGCAGCGGCCCAGCCCCUCCCCCGCGGCCAAGGUCACAGCGGGGCUCGGGGGGCGCCGGGGUCCACCUGCGCCUGCCCUCCCCACCCUCGCCGGGCUCAGGCCGCGCCUCUUCCCCGGGAAACUCGAGUCCCGAAUUUCCUCGGAAAGCGCCCCAGCGGCCACGGCCAACGGAUGUGACGAGGCUCAUCUGAUACCGGGGGGAAAGUUUCGAGAACCCUUAAAGGGGCAGCGAGGGCCUGAACUAGGGCCCCGGCCCCGCGCGCUUGGGGGUCCGCGGGGGUCUAUUCGCCCGGCAGUGGCGGGAGCUUCCGGGGGUGACUCGGAGGUCAGCGAGGAGAGCGGUGGAUCGGGAAGGAGCCUGGAGCCUCGCGCGCCUUUCCGAG